AUGUGACCAGCUGGAUAUAAACUAAUGCACAGAUGGUAACAAUCGUGACAUUAAACAUUUGGGUCAGACUUGUGUGUGUUUCGGCCACGUUAGCCUUGAAAGCAAUCUACAGAUCUAUUUCAAAUUCAACAUCUAGUCAACAAAUUAAUUACAUAGUAAGCAUAUGAAAACAUGAACUUUAGUAUACUGUUUACACACGUCAUUGUCCGUUUAAUCCACAUCUGAAGUGUCCAUGUCAAAACAAACAGCACGGAUUAUGGAUUUUUAACGAUAGCCAAUAGUUCCUGCAAUUAACUAUCAGUGCUGAUUAGUCGUCAAGACUGAUCAAUCGAUCGACAUCUAAUGUAUAAAUACGUUUUUGUUUUGCAAAAAUGUAGAUAGUAGAGGCAUGUUUUUCCAAUGAGCAUGGACAGAGAAGCAUUUAAACUACACAUGCAAUGUGGUCAAACUGAUUUAAGACCAUCUCAGAACACAAAAAUCACAAGACCUCGUUUACACCUGUAUUCAUCGCGGACAACUUCAUUCAAUUUGAUUGGCAUUCAAAACAUUAAAUAAAUAAUUAAUGCCAUGUGUUAACAGGGUCUAAGUCUUGUCACGAGGUCUUUCAUUUUUAAGACGAUAUGAAAAUGUUUAGAUAAAUGUAGUUUUAAAUAUUGUGGUCAUAAUUAUCAUUAUAUUUAUUAAUAGCCUUACACUGAUGAUUUGGGGUUUACAUUGUGUGUUUCAAGACUACAUCAUGGGUCUAUAUUGGCUGACUGUCAGUGUGCUAAAAAUAAAGUGCUGUGUGGGUGAACUUCAGCAAAUGGAAAAAGGAGCUUGUACAAUACAACAUUUGAAAGAUUAUAAGGAUUAUGGCUCUAAACACAAAGCCGCAAUCAAAGCACCAAUUCUGUUCACCUUGUCUAACAACAAACCUUAUGAACAGUUGAUUUUAAAAUGUGUAGUUUUGCAUACAAGGGUUAUAUAAUAUUUAUAUUAUAUUGCAUUUAUUGCUUUUAUCCAAAGCGAGUGCAUACAGGCAAACAUUUUCUACCUAACAUGUAUUCCCUGGGAAUCGAACCCACAACCUUGUGCUGCUUACGCAAUGCUCUACCAUUGAGCCACAGGAACACUUAGGGUUAGUCUGUCCAAUAAAUCACUCUGUCUGUAUAGAAUUAGCGCUGUGCAAAGGUGUUUUCAUUUGCUAAAAUGACUGUCUGACUGGUUUAAGCCCUGUUGUUAGAUUUCUAGAUUGAAUAAUGACAGCAUGACUGCAACUACCCAACUGAAAAUAAACAAUGAUGAUUAUGUCACGUUUUGUCUGUAAAUGAUAAUCUUUUUUUGACAACACCCCACAAGGUGCAGGAACAGGGCGUUUCAAAAAACGGCUUCUGACUUUCAAGUCUGGUGCUGGGAAAUUGUGUCAUAGGGGCAAGCUGAAACACAGUCAAGACAACUAUCAAUAGCCCUCCUUCCACAUUUAGCUCAUCUGCAUGGAACGAUGUGAAGAUGCAGCAGGGGUGAGACACGAAAGACGGCACACACACUCACACACUACACAGAUGACCAGAGAAGAAAUGCAGAGUAAAACAGAAAGACAGUCUGACUGUGACUAGGACAAAAAGAAGUUUGAAAAGGCUGAGCGAUGGUACACUGUUAAUGAACUUUCCAACCCCCCCGCGCUGCAGGAGGUGGGGUGUAGAUUAAAGUAAAGAUGUCAUGAUGCUCGCACAAAGUCAAGAUUCAUGUCUGUAAUACAAAACAACCACUCCAUAAUCAGUCCUUUAUGGGAAGUGUGAAUGGCUCAUAGUCUGAGAACUUUAGCAUGAUGUGGACAAAAAAUACUGGAGUCAGUUUGUUACUUUAUUUUAUUAUUGUUCAUUUAUUUUAUUAAACUGGAUAAAUUGUUA